rnacentral:rRNA from 1 species
CCUACGGGAGGCAGCAGUGAGGAAUAUUGGUCAAUGGGCGCAAGCCUGACCCAGCAACGCCGCGUGAAGGAAGAAGGCUUUCGGGUUGUAAACUUCUUUUCUCAGGGACGAAGAAAGUGACGGUACCUGAGUAAUAAGCCACGACUAACUACGGGCCAGCAGCCGCGGUAAUACGUAGGUGGCAAGCGUUAGCCGGAUUUAUUGGGUGUAAAGGGCGUGUAGGCGGGAGCGCAAGUCAGAUGUGAAAACUCAGGGCUCAACCCUGAGCCUGCAUUUGAAACUGUGUUUCUUGAGUGCUGGAGAGGCAAUCGGAAUUCCGGGUGUAGCGGUGAAAUGCGUAGAUAUACGGAGGAACACCAGUGGCGAAGGCGGAUUGCUGGACAGUAACUGACGCUGAGGCGCGAAAGCGUGGGGAGCAAACAGGAUUAGAUACCCCUGUAGUC